CACUUCCGAAAACUCAGGCUUGGGAACCGGAAAGGAGGUUUCCGGAUCAAGUCCCGGACGUUCAGGCCGGCGGCUGCCAGUCGCCCGCCCUGGACCCGAUGCACUGAGCAUCGCGUGGUCCUGUGGCCACGGCUGCAUCUUCCCUGGGUGACUCGGAGCCUCCGCUGUCACGUCUGUAGAAUGGGAUGGGAUUAACUGCACCCUCACUGACUCUCCCCCUCAGGUCUCCAUAGCCGGUGUCUGGAGAAACCACACUAACCCUCCUCCUCGCCUUGAUGCAUCACUGGCCCGGGGAAGAGACUCAUGGAAAGAAAUUUGGCCAGGUAGGAGAGGGCCUUGCAGAGGAGACCGGUCCUGUCUGACAGAGUGGCAAGAAGGGGAGGCAAGCUGGAGAGCAACAAGUCAGCAAAGACAGGGAGUCUAACUUGUUCCCACGGCCUGGCCCCAUACCUCCCUCUCACUGCAACGCCAACAGUUUUUGGUGAGGAACGCAGUUUGUGUCGUCUGAAUUAAAUGAACCCCACUCCCACUCUCAAUUCUUGUCUUUUGAUUCUGACCAGAAUCGUGAAGAAUUCAUUCCUUGAGAAUAAAGACAACCCCCCCUCCCCCGCAUCUGGUUCUGGAGUCAGUUCCAGUUCAUCUCUUGAAGCUCACUCUGGGAGCUUGCACUGAAAGGAGCAGAGAGAGAAGCACUCAGUGACGCAAUGAACAGCGAGAGGUGACAAAGGCACAGUAGGUGACGGGAGCAAAGGGGAAACAGCCAUGGAGCUGCAAAAAUAGGUAAAGCAUUCACCAAAUGACUUAAAGUUUUCUAGUGGAUGAUUGCAGUGGUCUGACCUGUAGUCCCUGCUUUUGAGAAGUGGAGGCAGGAGGAUUCCGAGUUCAAGGCCAGCCUCAGCUACACAGUGAGAGCCUUCUUAAGAGAGAAAUGAGACAGCCGUGUUCUUUUCCCUCACAGAAGACAAACCUACUGAGUUCAAAUCAAUAGCAGAGCAGGUAAGGAUGGGUUGGGCCACCUCUCACAGUGAUGCCUAAGUCAAGUGUCUGUCAUCAGAGGGCAGUAGUAUAGGCUGCUGUGCACCCCCAAGAGUCAUAUGUUGGAGCCCUGACUUUACUGGUAUUUGAUGGCAUUUGGAGAGGGGUCCUGUGGAAGUCAUGAGGGCAGAGCCCGAGGGUGAGAUUAAGUGUCCUUAAAGAACACUCAUCAUUCUGACAUCUCUCUGGCAUGUAAGGGCACGGCAGAAGACAGCAGUUCCUCAGAGCCUGGCUGUGUCAACACCCUGACUACGGGACCAGAGCUAUGAGAAACACCUGGUUAAGCCGACAAGCCCGUGGGGCUUUGUUGCAGCAGUAUAUGCUGACCAUAUCUGGUAGGACACGCUGAGGAUCGCAACACAGAAAGAGAUGGCAGGGGAAAGGGAGAAGCAAUGUGACAAGGAGAGAUGAGAUCUUCCCGGUGACGCCGAAAAGCCAAGAGGGCGGAGGACACAAGUGAGUGGCAGACAUCUGCCGACAUGUGACAGGCCUGGGGCUGGCUCCCAGCACUGCAAAACCAGAAGGCGUGGAAGAAGAAAGAAGACCACACUGAUAGGGACAAGAAAGAAAAUCUAGAGCUCAGCUAACAGUAAUGCUGCGAUUCAUUUUGGCAAGUGGGCCGUAGUUUUGUGCAUUCACUUUGGAGAAGCCGUGAGAGAGAGGUAUGUAGGAACUGCACACUAUCUCUCCAUUCAUCUUUCAAUGUUUUACUUAUUGGGGGAGGGGAGUACACAGACGUCACAGUACGUGUGUGCAAGUCAGAGGAUGGUUUGUUCUCUCUCUCUUCUCCAUGUGGGCUCCAGGGAAUCGAACUCAAGGUGUCAGGCUUAGCAGCAGAUGCCUUCACCUGCUGAGCCGAGUCAUCUUGACAGCCCUACUCUACGUUUUUGUGAAUCUAAAACAAUCCUAAAAUAAA